rnacentral:lncRNA from 1 species
AUUUGAUUAUAAUGUGAUGCUUAAGUUUCUUUGGCCUCAUUGGCUCUGUGGAUUUAUAUUUUUCAUAAUAUUGAAAGUGAUUUUUAUAUUGAUGAUUUUUAUAUUGAUGCUACAAAAAUAGAAUGUGGCUGAUGUGUGUGUGUGUGUGUGUGUGUGCACCUGCGUAUAUGUGCAUGUGCAUGUGUAUGUAUGUAUAAAUUAUUGAAAAGCUAUGGGAUAAUCAUAGAAGUGUGAAAAAAGCAGCAAAAUCCCUGGCAUGUCACAGAACUCUUACUUCCAACGUCACAUGUAGCAGACUGAAUCACUGUUCCAGGCCACUUGAACUGCAUGCUGUCCCCAUUACCCCUACAGGUUUUUGGAUGGUAAGGUACCACAUCAAAUUAAUUCAAAGACACAUGACUAUAUUCUAGCUGCAAAAGUUAUGGAAAAAUUAUUUCACCCUUUUAUCUUAUAUAUUGAAAAAAAUCUUUGCCUGCAAGCAAUAAGUAUCACUGAAACAUUUUAUGUGUAGAAUGAGGACAAUUUAUUAUCUCAGCUAUUUGAAUAUGAACACUCUGGCUAAGACUACAUUUCCAGCAUUCCUUGCCCCAUAUGAUAUUGACACUUGUGAAUUGCUCCAUGAAAUAUUUGCUCUUAUUUAUACUCUAAUUGAGACUAUGUUCAUACCUACUUUUAUCUUAUGACUUGUUCUUUCUCCAAUAACAUAAACAAAUCAGAAUGCUAUACUUCUAUGCUACUUGUAAACUAUAUUAGGAAUCAAGUUUCUGUUGUUCUUGAGUCAAUCUUCCCCUAGACUGUGUUCUUAUUGAUGAAAUAAAGAUGCUAGAUUCAGUGUUAUUAGUAUCAUUUUGAACUUUCUUUCAUGUAAUUUUUAAAAAUUUAUACAUGACAGCAGAAUGCAUUACAAUUCUUAUUACAUAUAUAGAACACAAUUUUUCAUAUCUCUGGUUGUAUACAUAGUAUAUUCACACCAAUUUGUGUCUUCAUACAUGUACUUUGGAUAGUAAUGAUCAUCACAUUCCACCAUCAUUAAUUACUCCAUGCCUCCUCCCUUACCCUUCAACUCCUCUGCCCUAAUUAGAGUUCAUCUAUUCUUCCCAUGCUCCUGCUCCUUAUGCCACUAUGAAUCAGCCUCCUUAUAUCAAAGAAAAUGUUUUGGCAUUUGUUUUUUUUUUAUGAUUGGCUAUCUUAACUUAGCAUUAUGUUCUCUAACUCCAUCCAUUUACUUACAAAUGCCAUGAUUUAAUUCUCUUUUAUUGCUGAGUAAUAUUCCAUUGUGUAUAUAUGCCACAUUUUUUUUUAUCCAUUCAUCUAUUGAAGGGCAUCUAGGUUGGUUCCACAGUUUAGGUAUUGUGAAUUGCUAUAAACACUGAUGUGGUUAUGUCCCUGUAGUAGGCUGUUUUUAAGUCCUUUGGAUAUAAACCAAGGAGAGGAACAGCUGGGUCAAAUGGUGGUUCCGUUCUUGAAAUAUUUUAUCAAAAUGUUACAGUGAUAGCUCUGAUACUAAAAACUAUCCCAUUUUACAUGAUCCCAUGGUUUUGUGCAAUUAUAUUUUUCAUAAAAUAUCAAUUUUUUUUAAAAAAUCAAUAUUAUAUCUUUAUAUAAGAUAAAAUUUAAUGUCUUAAACUGAAUUAAGAUUAAUUUUAGAUUAAUAUUAAAUUACAUGCUAUGUUCUAUAUUUCUUAUAAAAAUAAUAACAACUCUUGACAACACUGUUAUUGUGACUUUUCGUAGCAUAUCCUGGUAAGUCAAAGAUAGUUACUGAAAGUACAGUUGUAUAAAUCCUAAUCGAUUUGCAAAGUAUUUCUCAUCUAGCUAGAUUUAGAAGUAAGAGCAGAUAUUCAUUUUUAACUUGAAUUGUUCUUUUUAGUAAUAAGCAUUGUCAAAGUUUUGUGAAUAUCCCCAAGAAUCAACAUGAUUAUUUGGACAUGUGUGACUAAAACCUACUCUGGCUUAGAAAUUUCUUUCUAAAUUAUAGCUUUCCAUGGAAAGCCGUGGACGAGAAAAGUAUCGUGUUUCUGGUUACAUUUCCAUGAAUUUUUGAGUUGUUAUUCUUCAGUUUCACAUAAAGGAAUUUCAUAAAAUCAAACUGCAUCUCCAUCACAGCUUAAUAAAUAUUUUAAAAGGAAAACUUACUUCAAAAUAUGCCAGAAUCAAAAAGAGGAAUUGGGGGGGGUAAGAAAAUUUGACAUCUAAAUCAGGACCUUCAAAAGCUGCAUAGUCUCACCUGUAAGUAGAACCUAAAGAAGUUGAUCUCAUAGUAAUAAAUAAUAGAACAAUGGUUAAGGGGAGGGGAUGUGGUGGAUGGACAGAAGAUGGUUAAUGGUUAUAUGGGUGCAGUUAGAAGAAAUAACUCCUAAUGGUCCAUGAGUUAAGUAUAGUUUACAAAAAUUAACCACAUAUUUCAAAAUAACUAGUAGAAAAGAUUUUUAAUAUUUCCAACACCAGGAAAUUAUGAAUGUUCGAGAUCAUGAUAUGCCAGUUACCCCAAUCUGUACAUCAUGUACGUGUACUGAAGUGUCACACUGUAUCCCAUUAGUAUGUACAAUUAUUAGGGGUCAAUUAAUACUAAAAAUUAAAAAAAAAACAGGCCUUUGUUGGUUAAGUUAUCAAGGAAUAGGUGGUCUCUGAUUUGCACAUAUGUUUGGAGAAGGAAUGCACCAUGUAAACAUAUUAAAAUUAGGAUUAUUUAUUUAUAGACGUCUGUAUAUGCCUAGAUUUUUAUUGCAUCCUUAUGUGAUCAUGUUCAAUAGCAUUUCAAAUUAAUAUUAUGUCAUAUUUACUUUCAUUAUUAAAAAAAUGUGUUAAUAUAGUCUGUGUACCUUGAUUCAAUCCCAGAAACUCUAAGUGAUAUAGCAUUAUUCAAAACUAUAUUUCCAAUAUUGUAAAGCAUAUAUAUUUUCAUAAUACCAUUAUACCUCUGAUCAGGUACCUCUUAGUACACCAUUUAGUUCAUGCUCAAUAAAAUUAGAUAUCAGUCACAUCCACCACUGGUUUUCACUAUAUCACUUACACCCAGAGGGAAUGUGUUUGUCUCUAGCUAGAGUGAAAAUCUUGUUUAUAAACAGAAUAUUCUCAUCAUGAAUGUAAAUGUGUUGGUGUCACUUUAAUCAUGAACUUGAUGAGCCAUGCUAUAUUGUUUAUUUAGGCUCAGAAAUGCACAUAUUGUAAGGCUGGAAAGAGGAAAUGUUGAUUUAUGAACCAAGAACUAGAGAUGUGACAACCAGAUCACAGUUCAGCCUUGGAGCCUGCUGCUUCCUAAGUCUGCCAUAAAGGAAAAAGGGGCUAUAGGAAGGGAAAUAGCUUUGGUUUCUUACUAUCAGGAAUAUCUUCUUUUAUGUUGGACAUGCAGAGAGUUACCAAUGUAGAGUGUGUCAUAAGUGCCAUGAGUUGCAGUACUCUUUUCUUAUUACUGCCUUGUCUCUUAUGUAUUGACAUUUGUGAUUCAGAACACUGAUAUAAAAAGGCAGGUUUAUCUUUGUUCAGAUAAACCUAGGACAACUCAAUACAUAUUUGUAUGUCUGAGUAUCCAUUUCUCUCUCUCUCUCUUUUUUUUUCUCUC